rnacentral:rRNA from 1 species
AUUGAACGCUGGCGGCAGGCCUAACACAUGCAAGUCGAGCGGAUGAAGGGAGCUUGCUCCUGGAUUCAGCGGCGGACGGGUGAGUAAUGCCUAGGAAUCUGCCUGGUAGUGGGGGAUAACGUCCGGAAACGGGCGCUAAUACCGCAUACGUCCUGAGGGAGAAAGUGGGGGAUCUUCGGACCUCACGCUAUCAGAUGAGCCUAGGUCGGAUUAGCUAGUUGGUGGGAUAAAGGCCUACCAAGGCGACGAUCCGUAACUGGUCUGAGAGGAUGAUCAGUCACACUGGAACUGAGACACGGUCCAGACUCCUACGGGAGGCAGCAGUGGGGAAUAUUGGACAAAGGGCGAAAGCCUGAUCCAGCCAUGCCGCGUGUGUGAAGAAGGUCUUCGGAUUGUAAAGCACUUUAAGUUGGGAGGAAGGGCAGUAAGUUAAUACCUUGCUGUUUUGACGUUACCAACAGAAUAAGCACCGGCUAACUUCGUG